AAAAAAAUUAGAUAACUAGAAGAUGUGGAUAACUUCCUAGAAACAUACAACCUUCCUAGACUGAAUCAUGAAGUAGACACCCAAAUCA